GUUCCCGUAAAACAGACUGUUGA
rnacentral:piRNA from 1 species